GCUCCUUCUGGGGUGUUUGGUUUUUAGCCAAGAGAAAGCUUGCUCUUCUUGUCUCCUCUUCCCCCCUCAGUGACUUCACAGCUCUGCUGCAGUCCCUUCCCAGAUACAGAGAGUGAUCUGGGGUGUCGUGGAAUCCUAGAACUGGAGAAUUCUGCAGGCUGCCCAGAACUCAUUGCACUGAGGGGCAGGGCAGGGACAAAUGCAGAGGGGCACUGCCUGCCAAUCCAAUUCCCUGAAAUUCAUCACCCAUCCUGAGACCCUCAGAAGACGAUUCAGGAGAGGCCUGGGCCCCUGACCAACCACAUGGCUGGAUGGUCAUUUCCACCAUUCCAGAGGCGAGACCCUCCAUCCCAACCAGGGAGGGGUGUUGCUUUACUUGCCAACAAACAGGACACGCACGUCUGUUUGUUGGCAUCAGGCUGCAAUAAGCUCAGGGCAGCACCCGGACAAUGUCCUUGCCGUGCGUCUUGAUCUAUCAGAAAAGAACAUGGAGAAGUGGCAGGUUUGGGCACCUAGGAGAAUAUCCUACACCCGCCCUAACUGUGGUUUAGCGGACGGACUAAGAGCCCUGGAGUGGGGAGACCUGGGCCCAUUUGACCCCAUGGCUAGGAGCUUUGGAGGGAGGUGGGGAAGAUGGGGAGUGAGAGGAGCUGGUUCUGGGUGGAAACAUCCACUCUGAGGAAAAGAUCACCAGCUAGAGAAAGGAGUCUCUGAGCUUAGUGGGAAGGACAGUGUGUGGUGUCCUGGGAGAGUAAAUCAGGCCAGGAAUGAACUGGGAGGCUGAGCCAGGAGAAGGAGGAGCUGGAAAGAGACCGGCUGCUGAGCUCUCAUCCCAGUCAGGAGGGGAGAGAUCCUUCUAGAAAGAGAAGACUCCCAAACCAGAGAUCCCUUGGGUCUUUGGCUUGGAGUACCUUGGGAGUAGGGUUGUCCAAGGGGUGUGUAACUGGCAGAAAGUGCCACCUUGUUAAGAACCAAAGUAUUACGUGUGAAACAACUGAGAAAACCUUGAAGGGAAAUAACAUUGUAAACUGAAAUAUCCUAUGUUUUAUCCACUCGUGUCAUAAACUUCCUUGUUAAAUAAAAUCGUUAAUCUUUAUUUGAAGAAAUCCUGCCUGAGACUCCCAAUUAGUAAGUUUUACCUCACGCAAGUCCCCC